rnacentral:tRNA from 1 species
GGGGCCGUAGCUCAGUUGGGAGAGCGCUUGAAUGGCAUUCAAGAGGUCGAGGGUUCAAUUCCCUUCGGCUCCA